rnacentral:rRNA from 1 species
CCUACGGGAGGCAGCAGUGAGGAAUAUUGGUCAAUGGGCGGAAGCCUGAACCAGCCAAGUAGCGUGCAGGAUGACGGCCCUACGGGUUGUAAACUGCUUUUAUACGGGAAUAACGCGCCUUACGUGUAGUGCUUUUCAUGUACCGUAUGAAUAAGGACCGGCUAAUUCCGUGCCAGCAGCCGCGGUAAUACGGAAGGUCCGGGCGUUAUCCGGAUUUAUUGGGUUUAAAGGGAGCGUAGGCCGCAUGUCAAGCGUGCUGUGAAAUGUCCGGGCUCAACCCGGGCGAGCCGUUGAAACUGGCGGGCUGGAGUUGGAGAGAAGUACGCGGAAUGCGCGGUGUAGCGGUGAAAUGCUGAGAUAUCGCGCAGAACCCCGAUUGCGAAGGCAGCGUACCGGCUCCACACUGACGCUGAGGCACGAAAGCGUGGGUAUCGAACAGGAUUAGAUACCCGGGUAGUC